rnacentral:rRNA from 1 species
GUACCCUACGGGGCGCAGCAGUGAGGAAUAUUGGUCAAUGGUCGGGAGACUGAACCAGCCAAGCCGCGUGAGGGAUGAAGGUACAGAGUAUCGUAAACCUCUUUUGUCAGGGAACAAAGGCGGGGACGCGUCCCCGGAUGAGUGUACCUGAAGAAAAAGCAUCGGCUAACUCCGCGCCAGCAGCCGCGGUAAUACGGAGGAUGCGAGCGUUAUCCGGAUUUAUUGGGCUUAAAGGGUGCGGA